rnacentral:rRNA from 1 species
GUUGUUGAAAAUGGAGCGGAUGACCUGUGGAUAGGGGUGAAAGGCCAAUCAAACUCGGUGAUAGCUGGUUCUCCGCGAAAUGCAUUUAGGUGCAGCGUCGUGCGUUCAACGAUGGGGGUAGAGCACUGAAUGGGCUAGGGGUCCUACAAGACUACCGACCCCAAUCAAACUCCGAAUACCAUCGUUCCAGAGCACGGCAGUGAGACCUCGGGGGAUGAGCUUCGAGGUCGAGAGGGAAACAGCCCAGACCGCCGGCUAAGGUCCCAAAAUCUGAACUAAGUGGUAAACGAUGUGAGAUUGCGAAGACAGCCAGGAGGUUGGCUUGGAAGCAGCCAUCCUUGAAAGAGUGCGUAACAGCUCACUGGUCGAGUGAUCUUGCGCGGACAAUGUAACGGGGCUCAAGUUCAGUACCGAAGCCGCGGAUGCGACUCUUUGAGUCGUGUGGUAGCGGAGCGUCGAGCGUGCAGCGAAGCGGCGGGACAACCCAGCCGUGGAGCGCGUUCGAGUGCGAAUGUUGGCAUGAGUAGCGAAUGAGGGGUGAGAACCCCCUCCGCCGUAUGUCCAAGGGUUCCUGGGCGAGGCCAAUCCUCCCAGGGUGAGUCGGGAGCUAAGGCGAGGCCGAGAGGCGUAGUCGAUGCACAACUGGUUGAUAUUCCAGUACCACCAUGUUCGCGUCCGUCCCAAUACUCUGUUGCUAAGGGGCUGUGUUGACUUCGGUCAACGCGAACCGACCCACAUUGUUGCGGGAAGCUGUAGGGGGACGCAGGAAGGUAGAUGAACCCGGUGAAUGGUAGAACCGGGGUAAGCGUGUAGGAGGAGGACCAGGUAAAUCCGGGCCUCAUAAACUCUGAGACGUGAUACCGAGCCGCUUCAGGCGAAGUCAUUGAUCCUAUGCUGCCUAGAAAAGCCCAGCAGCGAGUUGACAUGGUGCCCGUACCCCAAACCAACACAGGUGGACAGGUAGAGCAUACCAAGGCGAGUGGGAUAACUAUGGUUAAGGAACUCGGCAAAUUGCCUCCGUAACUUCGGGAGAAGGAGGACCCCAGUAGCGUGAUGAGACUUGCUCUCUGAGCGUGAAGGGGUGGCACAAAAUUGAGGGAAGCGACUGUUUACCAAAAACACAGCAGCGUGCUAAGCCGUAAGGCGCUGUAUACGCUGUGACUCCUGCCCGGUGCUGGAAGGUUACGGGGAUGGGUUAGUCCUUCGGGACGAAGCUCUGAACCUAAGCCCCAGUAAACGGCGGCCGUAACUAUAACGGUCCUAAGGUAGCGAAAUUCCUUGUCGGGUAAGUUCCGACCUGCACGAAUGGAGUAACGACUUCCCUACUGUCUCAACCAUAGACCCAGCGAAAUUGAAGUACGAGUAAAGAUGCUCGUUAGCUGCAGAAGGACGGAAAGACCCCGUGGACCUUUACUAUAACUUGAUGUUGUGUUUUGUCU